rnacentral:rRNA from 1 species
CCUACGGGUGGCAGCAGUGAGGAAUAUUGGUCAAUGGGCGCUAGCCUGAACCAGCCAAGUAGCGUGAAGGAUGACUGCCCUAUGGGUUGUAAACUUCUUUUAUAUGGGAAUAAAGUGCAGUAUGUAUACUGCUUUGCAUGUACCUUAUGAAUAAGGAUCGGCUAACUCCGUGCCAGCAGCCGCGGUAAUACGGAGGAUCCGAGCGUUAUCCGGAUUUAUUGGGUUUAAAGGGAGCGUAGGCGGGUUGUUAAGUCAGUUGUGAAAGUUUGCGGCUCAACCGUAAAAUUGCAGUUGAUACUGGCAUCCUUGAGUACAGUAGAGGUAGGCGGAAUUCGUGGUGUAGCGGUGAAAUGCUUAGAUAUCACACAGAACACCGAUUGCGAAGGCAUCUCACGAAUCCGCGAUUGACGCUGAUGCACGAAAGCGUGGGUAUCAAACAGGAUUAGAUACCCUUGUAGUC